GUGUGGUGUUUGCCUGUUUGGAUACCCGAGGAGGAGAGAAUCUAUCAUCCAAGAUUCCAAGUCUUCCUUAAAAAUUACUGGAAUGCCCUUGUUGCAACAUUGGAUUGGAGAAUUUCAUAUUAGUGAAACAAAGAAAGAUCAGAUCAGAUUGAAUAGCUGUCUUUCUUGGGAACAGGGAGGGGCAUUUAUUGCUUCAACCCAUGUGCAUGUGCUUUAGUUAAUCUUGAUGUUGUGCGGCCUUGCUAAAUUGAUAGAUACUUGGGGUCUGAAAUGCUACAUCUCUCCCAAUUUGCAAAUAAGAGCUCUGCUGGAGUAAUCUAGUCUCCAUCGCACUUGACUCAUUUCAUUUUCUGGAUAGUUUAGGAAACCUCAUUGGUGUUAUCAAGUUAAAAUGACCGAGAGAAUACGGCCUACCGACUGUGAACAUCAGAAGGGUGUCAGCAUCUCUACGUCAUAGACUUAGCGCUGACAUCGAACAUCGGAAAUCUUGUUUACUGUAGACUUAUUCUUUGUAAAAUUUCUUGUAUCAAAAUAAUUUUGAGGGACUACUUAAUUCAACUUUACUUCUCCUGUCAUGUGUUGCAUUAGAAAUCUAGCUGUUCCCUAAUAGUAAUUUCAGUUUGUAAGUUGUAAG